AGAGUUUGAUCAUGGCUCAGGACGAACGCUGACGGUGUGCUUUAGACAUGCAAGUCGAACGAGAAAGCCCUUCGGGGUGAGUACAGUGGCGAACGGGUGAGUAACACGUGGGCAAUCUGCCCCUCGCAGGGGGACAACCGGGGGAAACCCCGGCUAAUACCCCGUACGCUUACGGAGCCGCAUGGCUCCAUAAGGAGAGGUAGCUUCGGCCAUCCGGCGAGGGAUGAGCCCGCGGUACAUUAGCUAGUUGGUGAGGUAACGGCUCACCAAGGCGACGAUGUAUAGCUGGUCUGAGAGGAUGAUCAGCCACACUGGCACUGAGACACGGGCCAGACUCCUACGGGAGGCAGCAGUGGGGAAUCUUGCGCAAUGGGCGAAAGCCUGACGCAGCAACACCGUGUGAGCGACGAAGGCCUUCGGGUCGUAAAGCUCUGUUGUUGGGGACGAAGGGCGAAGGGUUAAUAGCCCCUAGCUUGACGGUACCCUUCGAGGAAGCCCCGGCUAACUACGUGCCAGCAGCCGCGGUAAUACGUAGGGGGCGAGCGUUGUCCGGAAUUAUUGGGCGUAAAGAGCGUGUAGGCGGUUCGGUAAGUCUGCCGUGAAAACCCGGGGCUCAACCCUGGGCGUGCGGUGGAUACUGCCGGGCUAGAGGGUGGUAGAGGCGAGUGGAAUUCCCGGUGUAGCGGUGAAAUGCGCAGAUAUCGGGAGGAACACCAGUAGCGAAGGCGGCUCGCUGGGCCAUUCCUGACGCUGAGACGCGAAAGCUAGGGGAGCGAACAGGAUUAGAUACCCCAGUAGUCC
rnacentral:rRNA from 1 species